rnacentral:rRNA from 1 species
GACGAACGCUGGCGGCGGGCUUAACACAUGCAAGUCGAACGGAAAGGCCCUGCUUUUGUGGUGUGCUCGAUUGGCGAACGGGUGAGUAACACGUGAGUAACCUGCCCUUGACUUUGGGAUAACUUCAGGAAACUGAGGCUAAUACCGUAUAGGAGCUCCUGCUGCAUUGUUGGGGUUGGAAAGUUUCAGCGGGUGGGGCUGGACUCGCGGCUUAUCAGCUUGUUGGUUGGGUAGUUGCUUACCAAGGCUUUGACGGGUAGCCGGCCUGAGAGGGUGACCGGACACAUUGGGACUGCGAUACGGCACAGACUACUAUGGGAGGCAGAAGUGGGGAAUAUUGCACAAUGGGAGGAAGCCUGAUGAAGCAACGCCGCGUGCGGGAUGCCGUUUUUCGGGUUGUAAACCGCUUCAGACUGUGACGAAGCGUGAGUGACGGUAAUGGGUAAAGAAGCACCGGCUAACUACGUG